rnacentral:rRNA from 1 species
UACGGAGGGGGGCUAGCGUUGUUCGGAAUUACUGGGCGUAAAGCGCACGUAGGCGGCUUUGUAAGUUAGAGGUGAAAGCCCAGGGCUCAACCCUGGAAUUGCCUUUAAGACUGCAUCGCUUGAACAUCGGAGAGGUAAGUGGAAUUCCGAGUGUAGAGGUGAAAUUCGUAGAUAUUCGGAAGAACACCAGUGGCGAAGGCGACUCACUGGACAUGUAUUGACGCUGAGGUG